rnacentral:rRNA from 1 species
ACUACGGGAGGCAGCAGUGGGGAAUAUUGGGCAAUGGACGCAAGUCUGACCCAGCAACGCCGCGUGAAGGAAGAAGGCUUUAGGGUUGUUAACUUCCUUUGUUAGGGACGAAGACAGUGACAGUACCUGACGUCUAAGCCACGGCAAACUACGUGCCAGGAGCCGCGGUAAUACGUAGGUGGCAAGACGUAUCCGGAUUUACUGGGUGUAAAGGGCGGUUAGGGGGGGAAGCAAGUCAGAUGUGAAAACCACUGGCUCAACCUGUGGCCUGCCUUUGAAACUGUUUGUCUUGAGUGCUGGGGCGGUAAUCGGAAUUCCGGGUGUAGCGGUGAAAUGCUUAGAUAUCCGGCGGAACACCAGUGGCGAAGGCGGAUUACUGGACAAUAACUGACGCUGAGGCGCGAAAGCGUGGGGAGCAAACAGGAUUAGAUACCCUAGUAGUC